GACGAACGCUGGCGGCGUGCUUAACACAUGCAAGUCGAACGAUGAUGCCAGCUUGCUGGUGGAUUAGUGGCGAACGGGUGAGUAACACGUGAGCAACCUGCCCCUGACUUCGGGAUAACCGCGGGAAACCGUGGCUAAUACCGGAUAUGACGCGCUAUCGCAUGGUGGUGUGUGGAAAGAUUUAUCGGUUGGGGAUGGGCUCGCGGCCUAUCAGCUUGUUGGUGGGGUGAUGGCCUACCAAGGCGACGACGGGUAGCCGGCCUGAGAGGGUGACCGGCCACACUGGGACUGAGACACGGCCCAGACUCCUACGGGAGGCAGCAGUAGGGAAUAUUGCACAAUGGGCGCAAGCCUGAUGCAGCGACGCCGCGUGAGGGAUGACGGCCUUCGGGUUGUAAACCUCUUUCAGUAGGGAAGAAGGCCUUCGGGUUGACGGUACCUGCAGAAGAAGCGCCGGCUAACUACGUG
rnacentral:rRNA from 1 species